AGGAAGGGGUGGCCGCCACGGCCCUAUCCGCUGAGACAACGCGAGAACGGACACAACUAACUGGCAGAUUCUAGACCUCGGUCUUUCCGCGUCCUUCUACGCUUCGCUCCCACUCUUGCCGAUCCUGCGCCCGAGGGAGAGCCGAAAAGGCCCUUCUGAUCAAGAAUAAUACAAGGGUACAGCAAAGCCCACAGAGUUCCAGCCACAGCGAUGAUGAGGCCCCGUCGACCUCCUCAAGCACAGCGGGCAGCUCUUCUGUGCCAGAUCUACCAGGUUAUUACUUUGACCCUGAAAAGAAACGCUACUUCCGCUUGCUCCCUGGACAUAACAACUGCAACCCCCUCACGAAGGAGAGCAUCCGGCAGAAGGAAAUGGAGAGCAAAAGGCUGCAGCUGCUAGAGGAAGAGGACAAGCAGGGAAAGAAAACAGCCAGGUUGGGAUUUAAUGCAUCUUCCUUACUACAAAAAAGCAAGCUGGGUUUUCUCAACGUCACCAGUUACUGCCGUUUAGCCCAUGAGCUGCGAGUGAGCUGCAUGCAGAGGAAAAAGGUCCAAAUUCAGAGCUCGGAUCCCUCCGCUUUGGCAAGUGACCGAUUUAACCUGAUACUGGCGGAUACCAACAGUGACCGGCUCUUCACCGUGAACGAUGUCAAAGUCGGAGGCUCCAAGUAUGGCAUCAUCAACCUGCGUGGCCUGAAGACCCCCACGCUCAGGGUGCACAUGCAUGAAAACCUCUACUUCACCAACCGGAAGGUGAACGCUGUGAGCUGGGCCUCGCUGAAUCACCUGGAUUCCCACAUUCUGCUGUGCCUCAUGGGAAUUGCAGAGACUCCAGGCUGUGCCACCCUGCUCCCAGCGUCAUUGUUUGUCAGUAGUCAUCCAGCAGGAGACCGGCCUGGCAUGCUCUGCAGUUUCCGGAUCCCCGGGGCCUGGUCCUGUGCGUGGUCCCUGAACAUCCAGGCAAAUAACUGCUUUAGUACAGGCUUGUCUCGGCGAGUCCUGGUGACCAGCGUGGUGACGGGACACCGGCAGUCAUUUGGGACCAGCAGUGACGUCUUGGCCCAGCAGUUUGCUGUUAUGGCUCCUUUGCUGUUUAAUGGCUGUCGUUCCGGCGAAAUCUUUGCCAUUGAUCUCCGUUGUCGAAAUCAGGGCAAGGGCUGGAAAGCCACCCGCCUGUUACAUGACUCAGCAGUUACCUCUGUGCAAAUCCUGCAAGAGGAGCAAUGCCUGAUGGCAUCCGACAUGGCUGGAACGAUCAAGCUGUGGGACCUGAGGACCACUAAGUGUAUUAGGCAGUACGAAGGGCACGUGAACGAGUAUGCCCACCUGCCCCUGCACGUGCAUGAGGAAGAAGGAAUCGUGGUGGCAGUGGGCCAGGACUGCUACACGAGAAUCUGGAGUCUCCAUGAUGCCCAGCUGCUCAGAACCAUACCCUCCCCACACCCCACUUCCAAGGCCGACAUUCCCAGUGUGGCCUUCUCUUCUCGGCUUGGGGGCUUCCGGGGAGCGCCAGGGCUGCUCAUGGCCAUCCGACAGGACCUUUACUGCUUCUCCUACAGCUAAUUCUGCAGGUUGCAGCCUGGAGAGCUGUGGAUGUGACUCAGGGGAGCAUAGUCACUGGUAUUGCACCUCUGGUGAAGAGCCUUUGCCACUAUUCUGUACUAUUUCAAUGGAGCUGUGGCUAUUCAGUCCAACUUUGAUCUCACAGACAGUGGAGACGACUGACUACUCAGAAUACCUGCCUUUCCUUUCAUUUUUAUUUAUUUUCUUUGGCCACGCCACGCUGCUUGUGGGAUCUUAGUUCCCCGACCAGGGAUUGAACCUGGGCCGUUGGCAGUGAAAGCACAGAGUCCUAACCACUGGACCUCCAGGGAAUUCCCUGGGCCCACUCCUUUAAGUCUGCCUCUCCAGGCCACCCACCACAUGGCCACUGCCACGGGAAUGACCUUCCCAAAGAUCCCUGCACUCAACGCCUUCUUGUACCUCGGAAUAAAAUGUGCGGCAUCUUGAGAUUUGAUCACAUGUGCCUCACCCUGUUGCCCCUUCUCCACCUCCCACCUGGUGCUCUCAGGACACAUGUUACAAGUCCCUCCGUCAUCUGGGCCUCUGCUCAAGCUGUCCUCCACUCCUUUCAUCUGUUGAGUCUCAGCUUCACAGAAACCUCGAGGAAGCUUAGUUUCCCCAGCACUUGCCACAUCUAGACACUUAGUAUGUUGAAUGAACCAUUUUUGCCAGCAUUAUUCCCUUUUAAUUCUUAGAACCCUACGAAGCACGUGAAGGUCACUCCUAUAUACCAAAGAAAAAGCUGAGAAUAAAGCAAUUUGUCCAAGGUCUCCUGCUAAUAAGUAGCAGAGCCAACGGGGUCUCCUGCUCAAGAAAUCUAUUAGGCCCCAUGUGUUGGAGGGAAUGGAAUUUUUACUUUUCCUCUGGAAGUUUAAGAUCUCCUUAAGAUAAUUUUCUGGGACUUCCCUGGUGGCGCAGUAGUUAAGAAUCCACUUGCCAGUGCAGGGCACACGGGUUCAAGCCUUGGCCUGGGAAGAUCCCACAUGCUGAGAGCAACUAAACCCAUGUGACACAACUACUGAGCCUGUACUCUAGAGCCCAUGAGCCACAGCCACUGAGCCCGUGUGCCACAACUACUGAAGCCCACGUGCCUAGAGCCAGUGCACCGCAACAAAGAGUAGCUCCCGCUCGCCGCAAGUAGAGAAAGCCCGGGUGCAGCAACAAAGACCCAAUGCAGCCAAAAAUAAAUUAAUUAAUUUUGGGGCUUCCCUGGUGGCGCAGUGGUUGAGUCCGCCUGCCGAUGCAGGGGACGCGGGUUCGUGCCCUGGUCCGGGAAGAUCCCACAUGCCGCAGAGCGGCUGGGCCCGUGAGCCAUGGCCGCUGAGCCCGCACGUCCAAAGCCUGUGCUCCGCAACGGGAGAGGCCACAACAGUGAGAAGCCCGCGUACCGCAAAAAAAAUUAUUAAUUUUUUAAAAAAAGAAAAGAAAAAGAUGAACCCUGGGUAUGUAGGGCAAGAAAAGAGAAACUUUGGUUAUUUUGACACCGGGUUACCUUCUUUUCCUCUACCGGUCCGACUAGUGUAAGGAAGAGAGUUCGGAAGACUUUUAUGCAUCCUCCCUAUGUGGUCCAGCAUCCUCCCAUGCUCAGGGGCGCCCCUAAAUGACAGAACAGGAGACAGUGGAUAGCGGUUGUUCAACAGGAGCUGAACAGACAAAGCAAGGCAGGGCAGAGGAACAAAGAGCAACAGGUACAAAGCGAGAAAAGUCUUUUCCCAGGGUUUCCAUAGGUCACUAGUAACACCUACUCUCUUCUGUGAUGACAGAGGAUUUGCCGGGGAAUAAACUGAGGUAUUUACAGGUAAAAUAUACCUCUCACUUGGCUUCUGCUCUAAAAGCCACCAGCUACUUUCUUAACUAGAAAGAGGUAGCAAGAUACACGCAUGAAGUUAAAGGAAAGAAGCAGCACAGUCCAUAUUCCGCAGGAAGAUUCCUUUAUAACGGCGAAUUUAAUAAUACACAGUACUAGAGCAGGGCCUCGGUCAUAGGCCAUAGGAGGCAGUAAGGAAGCAGGUCUGAGAGGGACCAACACAUUCCAGGGCUCACGUUACAGUAACACUCACGCCACGCACCUCCCUGAAGCUCGGCCCACCCACCAGUUCAGUCAAGAACCGUGUCACUUUUAAUUCUUCAUUUUUGGCCACGGACGAUAAAAUCCACCAUGAUGACAGCAUUUCAGCACAACAGUCUCUUUCCAGUCACAAUAGAAAUGGAUGUCCCAGCUCUUGAGAAACAAAGUUCAUCUGAUUUCUCUUGCCAGGACCGGAGAGAGAAUUUUUUCUUAGUGGUCUGUUGAAAUAUUUAUAUAUACUUAAAAAAAAAAACCCCACUAACAGUCCAUUCUGUGCUCUGUUUCCCUGGAAUAUUUCUCAUGAUCACCCCUCCAAUAGCUAGAGGGGUUGUGUGUCUGGGAAUAAAGAAUUAAGAUGCUUCAAAACAAGCAAAAACCCUAGUGCAACACUCAGUAGAUGGUGGGCUCAAGGGGGUUGGUAGGGGAGGGAAGCAGGUGCUCUAUUUCUGGGCAGGGAAAGCCAAGUGCUCGCAUAGACGGAAGCAUCAACAAGCAGGAAACACUGGGGAAGGCCCAUCUCCUUCCGUGUUCCCCCUGUAUGAGGGCCAUCGCGUCACCUGCACUUGGACUUCUGAGGUCUGAGGCCCGUACCCCCCACCUGCCACCCAUCCAUGACCUGCAUGCUAAGCUGGGUGGUCUCUGACCACGACAGGCCUAGGCAAGGAAUUGGGAUCCGACUCUGGAGGGCCCAGGGAGAUCCUCCACAGGCUAUCCCAAGCGAGAAGUACCUGGGAAGCUCACUUGCCCCAGCAGCUGAGGGGCAUGAAGGCUUCGAAGGCUCGGAAAGAAGCAGCAAAAGGUGACUAGCAACGCAGUGGCCUUGGACAUGGCUCGGUUUUGUGGGGAAGACCUGCUGCCACUGCCACCUGAUUCUGUGCUGGGGACAGACUGUGCAGGUCUUCACAGCCAGCAGCAGCCUGAAUACACUCCAUGUUCCUUUCAUAUGUAUAUACAGGUGUGUGUGUGUGUGUUAUAUGUACGUGUGUGUGUGUGUGUGU